UAAUUUUAUUUCCUGAAGGCACAGACUGAAGCAAUAUUAGAAGCAGACUGCACUGGCCUGUAGAAAACUCACAGUGUUGGAUUUUUUUUUUUCCACUGCUUGCCAAAGCCUCUGACAUCAACCUUACCCCAACAGGGAGCCAGAGGAAGGAGAGGGAGGUGCAAUGGCAGAUGGCAACCCACAAGGAGGCGAGAACUGCAUACUGCACUUUGGCACUCCAUGACAAGGACAACUUUACAGUAACCUACUUUGCUUAUAAAUCGAAUGAGGAUUAUUUGCUAUUUACCCCACCCCCACCCCUAUGUUUGGUCAGAUCACUGCAAGACAGGCAAAAAAAAUCUAAUUAAUUAAUUGACUUAGCUCUGCCAAGCUGUAUUUCUAAUGCUGGGAGGACAUAAGAGAACUGAUUUUAAUAUAGUUAAGCCAGACAUUGUGGAAUUUCAGGCUUUGAUAGGGUUUCAAUGUGUAGAUGAGCUGGGGGACAAAUUUGCCUACCCAGUAAAGGAGCAGUGAGUUUCUCUAUUACCUGGCCUGAAUGCCCCAGAAAUCUGCAGAAACCCAACAGAGGUUUUGCAAUGCUUUCUCCUUGUCUUUGCCUUCAAGCAAAAGCAUGUUCACUGGAGACAGACAACAGAGACAAUUUCAUCUGCAAGCACAGAUUAUGCCUAGGAGUCAAGAGGAGGCAGCUGCACUCCUACCUUUUGUGCUCUUGGGAAACUCAUGCCAAUGCCAAGAAACUGCAGGAGCAGCUCCAGCACUGUUACACAGCCACCUUCACUCAGAAGUGUUGUGUUCUCUAAAAACCAGCUGUUUUCCACACCAAGCCAUGAAGUGGGACCACCUGAUGUCCCAGGCCACCUCAGACAAGUUAGACAGCAUGGCAAGGGUUGCAAAUGGAGAGGCGUCCACCUCUCUGCUGUGAUUGUCUAUCAAUAUAUUGCCAAUUUUUUCACAGAUCUUUGGUUAUGCCACUGUACAUGGACUUGUAUCUUCAGAAACCUUGUCUGUGCAAGAUCUGCCAAACCUAGUGACUGUGAGGAUGUCUGCAUACCUUUUCGCAGGACAACAAGGUCUGAGCUGAAUUAAGCUAAUAUUGUAGGUGCCAUGCCUGUAGAAAUAAAAGGAACCUCAAGAAAUGCCAUGAGUCAAUCCCAAUGUUUAAAAACUGGAGGUAAACAAUAAGCAAAAUGACUGCUACUGAAAUAGAUGUUAAUGUAAUGAUUGUUUAAAGGAAGGCUUUGGAUUUUUUUCUUUACAAAGUUAAAACUGGUACAGAGUUUAAAUGGUGAUCCUCACUGCCAUUUCUGUCUGCAUCUGCAUCCUGUGUCCAUCUGUCUGACUUCCCAGUUUCACAGAAAGCCGUGCCUGGGGAUGAGAGAAGAAGACCCCACCUGAGUGCCGGCUGCACUUCCCCUGCAAACUGGAGACAAAGUUCCCCAUGCCAAUGCUCAGCUCCUCAGUGCAGUGCCCUUUUCCUCUAUGGAAGACAGGAUGGCAAGGGCAGAGGAUGCAAACACCUUUCCUAAAAUCAGCAAUUGGCUUAAUUUCCUGCUUCAAUGCUACUGUUGGAAAGGAAAAUCAAAGCUGCGUAUUAAAGAAGUGUAAGCAAGCAAAUGUGUUAAAUGGUGCCCUAAGUCUGUGAAUGCAGUGGGUGAGAGCAGAACCUGUUUAUAAACUGCAGUGACUGUGCUGCCUGGAGAUGACUUCAUGCCUGAAGAACUCUUGUAACCUUUUUCAAUCGAUGCUUUUCUUUUUCUCUCACAUAAAUGUCACAUAAGGACAUACACCGCAUUACAUGAAUGUCAGAAAUACUGCCCAGCUAUUGUGCUUCCUUUGUUUCCCUCUUCCCUCAAAAGUGAGGCUUUUCUUUUUUCUGCAUGCAAACAAAAAUGGGAUUUGAUGACAAAAAUCUAAUAAUCAAUCAAGUCUUUCUUUACCAUUAAGAUUUUCAUAAGAAAUGAUAAGCAGACAUACAAGUGCAGCUUUUUGCUAGGAUGAUCACAGAGAUGUAUGUUCACAGUAUAAUGAAGAUUAAUCAUCACUUUAUCAAACGACAUGCAUUUUUUAAAGCACCUCAAUAAAAUAACAGCCUAGGUUCUGUAGAAGUGUCUGAGCCAAAGAUGUGCUGGCAUCCUCUCUUCCCUGAAAGGCCCUGCCUUCUUGCUCACCCAUACCCAUGCUGCUCCAGGCCCUGUGCCCCUACAGCCUCUCUACCCUGGGUAUCCUGCCAUGCUCCCACAUCCCAGCAGAGACUUGCUGCUGCAGCAAGGGCAGCCAGCAUCUGAACCUUCUAAAGAGUCUUGUAAACCCAAAUAUAUAUUGGUGCUAUCAGCUAAAAAUCUACCCUGCUUUAAGAUGGAUUGAUUCUGAAAUUCUUUGAAUUUCAAGGCCAUAAAAUCUUUCUGCACCAGUAAAACUGAAUGCAAUUCACAUGUAGAUUGGUGGAGUUCAGAUACCUUUUUCUUGAGGCCUGUGUUUGCCCACCACUAAAGGAGCAGAAAGACUCCUGCUUGCCCUUUGCAAGCAGCUCUGCCCAAACAUCUGCUGUGACCCUGCCAGGGCAGGGGUCCAGAGGGAAGCCUUAGUAGCUCUUCCUGUGCUCUUCCCACCAAAGCCCAUGGGAUACCUUCCUGAAAUAAAUAUCUGUCUACUACUGGUGGGAUAUUUCAGUCUGCUUGCUCCUGCUUUGCUCUGAAAUAAUUUCUUCAGCAACAGCUCAGCCUGAAAGCAUUUGGAGAUUUGCCAGACUGAGAACCGACUUUAAAAAAUGCAGAUUUUGGCCCUAAUGUUUUUACAUGUAAUAGAUAAUUUCAUUCAUAUUUCUCUCUCUGUCUCUGAUCAUACGCUACCAUAGAAUGCUUGAAAAUAAAAAAGCAUAAGGUGCUCUGAGGGAUUUCUAGGCCUCUUGACAUGGCCAUUUUUAAGAUAAUAUCAGGAGACAAUAGAAAGCAUAAUCAUUAACUACCUGCUAGUGAUUUCAGACCUUCUGUUCUCUUGGGUUAAUGUAUGAUUCAAUCAGCACAAAUGGAGGUCUUCAAUAUGCCCUUUUACUGGGAUUAAAUUCUGGUUACAUUUUGACAGCCAUACAGACUUCAAACAAAUCCAGUGAUCUAUAUGCAUAAUAUGGUAAUUGUGAUAAACUGAAAUUGAAAAAGAUACUGAUAAUUAUAUGUGGUUAAAAUGGC